UUCUUCACUAUAUCCCGCCCGACUUUAUUUCUUAAAACCCUAAUCUUCAAAAUUUCCUCUUCUUUAAGCUUUCUGCUCUCGAUCUUCCCAGGAACAAUGAGUCGGUCGAGUAGGACACUUUAUGUUGGCAAUCUUCCUGGUGAUGUUCGUGAGCGUGAAGUGGAAGAUCUGUUUCACAAGUAUGGCCCGAUAGCUCAUAUUGAGCUGAAAAUUCCACCAAGACCCCCUGGUUAUGCUUUUGUUGAGUUUGAAGAGGCUCGCGAUGCUGAAGAUGCUAUUCGUGGUCGUGAUGGCUAUGAUUUUGAUGGGCACCGUCUGCGGGUUGAGCUUGCACAUGGCGGGCGUGGUAACUCAUCAUCAAAUGAUCGUUAUGGUGGCGGCGGCCGUGGUCAGCGUGGUGGAGGAGUGUCCAGACGUUCUGAUUUUCGAGUGUUAGUUACAGGAUUACCCCAUUCAGCAUCGUGGCAGGAUCUCAAGGAUCACAUGCGUCGUGCUGGGGAUGUUUGUUUCUCCCAAGUUUUCCGUGAUGGGAGUGGCACCACUGGUAUAAUUGAUUAUACAAACUAUGAUGACAUGAAAUAUGCUAUCAAAAAGCUUGAUGACUCUGAGUUUCGGAAUGCCUUUUCUCGUGCGACAAUUCGAGUUAAGGAAUAUGACCGCAGUCGAAGCCGCAGCCGCAGCCGCAGUCGGAGCCGUUCUUACUCCAAAGGAAAGAGUGUUAGUCGAAGCCGUAGCCGUAGCCGAAGUAGAAGUCGUAGCAAGAGCAAAAGCAAAUCUCCUAAAGUUAAGUCUUCAAAGCGCUCAAGAUCUCGUUCAAGGUCUGUGUCUUCUCGGUCUCGUUCUGGGUCAAAAGGACGUCCUGUCUCAAGAUUUUGGAUAUGUGCGGCGGUUUGUGGAUUUGCAUAUUAGGAUCAUGAGUGGAUAAUGGUCUUGCCUGCAACUCUUUUUGUUGUGGAGGUACGAUGUUUUCUAGAUGGCAACUUUGGGUCUUUUUAUGAUGUCUCUAUUCUAAUGAGCAUCGUGAAAUGUUCCAUGGGUGCUAGAUUGGGAUCAUGAAGAUCAUGGAUUCUAUGGUGGAGCUGGACUGGGGAACUAACUGCCACCUGAAUUUGGAUCACCACUUAUUUUUUGGUAGAAGCAUGUUCUAACAAAGCAAAAUAGAGAUUUUAUCAAAAAUUCUUUUGGUAUCCUGCUAAUUGGUCUCUGUGACUGCACAAAUUUAAAAUAUUACGUAGUCUUAAUGGUGUAACUUGCAUUGCUUUAUACUUGCCAUAUUUUCCACUCUGGAUUCUGCCAAAUUGCUACUUUCAUUAUGGUCUUGCUGAGGUGGAAGUGAAAUCAAUGCAGUUGUGGAGGAAACUUGUUAAGUGGCGGUACUGGGAUAUUAAAUUAAGUUCUUUCUGGAAAUUUUGCAGAUCUCCAUCAAGGUCCAGAUCGCCAGCACCAGCUCGUUCAAAACCGUUGAGCAAAAGUCCCAAAAGACGCACUCCCAGCAGUAGCCCCAAAAGACGCACUCCAAGCAGAAGCCCAAGCCGGAGUAGGAGCC